rnacentral:rRNA from 1 species
UACAGGGGGGGCAAGCGUUGUUCGGAAUUACUGGGCGUAAAGGGCGCGUAGGUGGCCAACUAAGUCAGACGUGAAAUCCCUCAGCUUAACUGGGGAACUGCGUCUGAUACUGGAUGGCUUGAGUUUGGGAGAGGGAUGCGGAAUUCCAGGUGUAGCGGUGAAAUGCGUAGAUAUCGGGAGGAACACCAGUGGCGAAGGCGACUUCCUGGCCUGUUCUUGACGCUGAGGCGCGAAAGCUAGGGUAGCAAACGGG